rnacentral:rRNA from 1 species
UUAAGCGACUAAGCGUACACGGUGGAUGCCCUGGCAGUCAGAGGCGAUGAAGGACGUGCUAAUCUGCGAUAAGCGUCGGUAAGGUGAUAUGAACCGUUAUAACCGGCGAUUUCCGAAUGGGGAAACCCAGUGUGAUUCGUCACACUAUCAUUAACUGAAUCCAUAGGUUAAUGAGGCGAACCGGGGGAACUGAAACAUCUAAGUACCCCGAGGAAAAGAAAUCAACCGAGAUUCCCCCAGUAGCGGCGAGCGAACGGGGAGCAGCCCAGAGCCUGAAUCAGUGUGUGUGUUAGUGGAAGCGUCUGGAAAGGCGCGCGAUACAGGGUGACAGCCCCGUACACAAAAAUGCACAUGCUGUGAGCUCGAUGAGUAGGGCGGGACACGUGGUAUCCUGUCUGAAUAUGGGGGGACCAUCCUCCAAGGCUAAAUACUCCUGACUGACCGAUAGUGAACCAGUACCGUGAGGGAAAGGCGAAAAGAACCCCGGCGAGGGGAGUGAAAAAGAACCUGAAACCGUGUACGUACAAGCAGUGGGAGCCUCUUUAUGGGGUGACUGCGUACCUUUUGUAUAAUGGGUCAGCGACUUAUAUUCUGUAGCAAGGUUAACCGAAUAGGGGAGCCGAAGGGAAACCGAGUCUUAACUGGGCGUUAAGUUGCAGGGUAUAGACCCGAAACCCGGUGAUCUAGCCAUGGGCAGGUUGAAGGUUGGGUAACACUAACUGGAGGACCGAACCGACUAAUGUUGAAAAAUUAGCGGAUGACUUGUGGCUGGGGGUGAAAGGCCAAUCAAACCGGGAGAUAGCUGGUUCUCCCCGAAAGCUAUUUAGGUAGCGCCUCGUGAAUUCAUCUCCGGGGGUAGAGCACUGUUUCGGCAAGGGGGUCAUCCCGACUUACCAACCCGAUGCAAACUGCGAAUACCGGAGAAUGUUAUCACGGGAGACACACGGCGGGUGCUAACGUCCGUCGUGAAGAGGGAAACAACCCAGACCGCCAGCUAAGGUCCCAAAGUCAUGGUUAAGUGGGAAACGAUGUGGGAAGGCCCAGACAGCCAGGAUGUUGGCUUAGAAGCAGCCAUCAUUUAAAGAAAGCGUAAUAGCUCACUGGUCGAGUCGGCCUGCGCGGAAGAUGUAACGGGGCUAAACCAUGCACCGAAGCUGCGGCAGCGACGCUUAUGCGUUGUUGGGUAGGGGAGCGUUCUGUAAGCCUGCGAAGGUGUACUGUGAGGUAUGCUGGAGGUAUCAGAAGUGCGAAUGCUGACAUAAGUAACGAUAAAGCGGGUGAAAAGCCCGCUCGCCGGAAGACCAAGGGUUCCUGUCCAACGUUAAUCGGGGCAGGGUGAGUCGACCCCUAAGGCGAGGCCGAAAGGCGUAGUCGAUGGGAAACAGGUUAAUAUUCCUGUACUUGGUGUUACUGCGAAGGGGGGACGGAGAAGGCUAUGUUGGCCGGGCGACGGUUGUCCCGGUUUAAGCGUGUAGGCUGGUUUUCCAGGCAAAUCCGGAAAAUCAAGGCUGAGGCGUGAUGACGAGGCACUACGGUGCUGAAGCAACAAAUGCCCUGCUUCCAGGAAAAGCCUCUAAGCAUCAGGUAACAUCAAAUCGUACCCCAAACCGACACAGGUGGUCAGGUAGAGAAUACCAAGGCGCUUGAGAGAACUCGGGUGAAGGAACUAGGCAAAAUGGUGCCGUAACUUCGGGAGAAGGCACGCUGAUACGUAGGUGAAGUCCCUUGCGGAUGGAGCUGAAAUCAGUCGAAGAUACCAGCUGGCUGCAACUGUUUAUUAAAAACACAGCACUGUGCAAACACGAAAGUGGACGUAUACGGUGUGACGCCUGCCCGGUGCCGGAAGGUUAAUUGAUGGGGUUAGCGGUAACGCGAAGCUCUUGAUCGAAGCCCCGGUAAACGGCGGCCGUAACUAUAACGGUCCUAAGGUAGCGAAAUUCCUUGUCGGGUAAGUUCCGACCUGCACGAAUGGCGUAAUGAUGGCCAGGCUGUCUCCACCCGAGACUCAGUGAAAUUGAACUCGCUGUGAAGAUGCAGUGUACCCGCGGCAAGACGGAAAGACCCCGUGAACCUUUACUAUAGCUUGACACUGAACAUUGAGCCUUGAUGUGUAGGAUAGGUGGGAGGCUUUGAAGUGUGGACGCCAGUCUGCAUGGAGCCGACCUUGAAAUACCACCCUUUAAUGUUUGAUGUUCUAACGUUGGCCCCUAAUCGGGGUUGCGGACAGUGUCUGGUGGGUAGUUUGACUGGGGCGGUCUCCUCCUAAAGAGUAACGGAGGAGCACGAAGGUUGGCUAAUCCUGGUCGGACAUCAGGAGGUUAGUGCAAUGGCAUAAGCCAGCUUGACUGCGAGCGUGACGGCGCGAGCAGGUGCGAAAGCAGGUCAUAGUGAUCCGGUGGUUCUGAAUGGAAGGGCCAUCGCUCAACGGAUAAAAGGUACUCCGGGGAUAACAGGCUGAUACCGCCCAAGAGUUCAUAUCGACGGCGGUGUUUGGCACCUCGAUGUCGGCUCAUCACAUCCUGGGGCUGAAGUAGGUCCCAAGGGUAUGGCUGUUCGCCAUUUAAAGUGGUACGCGAGCUGGGUUUAGAACGUCGUGAGACAGUUCGGUCCCUAUCUGCCGUGGGCGCUGGAGAACUGAGGGGGGCUGCUCCUAGUACGAGAGGACCGGAGUGGACGCAUCACUGGUGUUCGGGUUGUCAUGCCAAUGGCACUGCCCGGUAGCUAAAUGCGGAAGAGAUAAGUGCUGAAAGCAUCUAAGCACGAAACUUGCCCCGAGAUGAGUUCUCCCUGACUCCCUGAGAGUCCUGAAGGAACGUUGAAGACGACGACGUUGAUAGGCCGGGUGUGUAAGCGCAGCGAUGCGUUGAGCUAACCGGUACUAAUGAACCGUGAGGCUUAACCUU